GACGAACGCUGGCGGCGUGCUUAACACAUGCAAGUCGAACGGAAAGGCCCUGCUUUUGUGGGGUGCUCGAGUGGCGAACGGGUGAGUAACACGUGAGUAACCUGCCCUUGACUUUGGGAUAACUUCAGGAAACUGGGGCUAAUACCGGAUAGGAGCUCCUGCUGCAUGGUGGGGGUUGGAAAGUUUCGGCGGUUGGGGAUGGACUCGCGGCUUAUCAGCUUGUUGGUGGGGUAGUGGCUUACCAAGGCUUUGACGGGUAGCCGGCCUGAGAGGGUGACCGGCCACAUUGGGACUGAGAUACGGACCAGACUCCUACGGGAGGCAGCAGUAGGGAAUAUUGCACAAUGGGCGGAAGCCUGAUGAAGAAACGCCGGGUGCGGGAUGACGGCCUUCGGGUUGUAAACCGCUUUCGCCUGUGACGAAGCGUGAGUGACGGUAAUGGGUAAAGAAGCACCGGCUAACUACGUG
rnacentral:rRNA from 1 species